rnacentral:rRNA from 1 species
GACAGAGGGUGCAAACGUUGUUCGGAAUUACUGGGCGUAAAGCGCGUGUAGGCGGCUAAGUAAGUCGGGCGUGAAAUCCCACGGCUCAACCGUGGAAGUGCAUUCGAAACUGCGUAGCUAGAGUCCUGGAGAGGAAGGUGGAAUGCUUGGUGUAGAGGUGAAAUUCGUAGAUAUCAAGCGGAACACCGGUGGCGAAGGCGGCCUUCUGGACAGUGACUGACGCUGAGACGCGAAAGCGUGGGGAGCAAACAGG